UACCUGGCCACCAUAGCUGAGUGACAGAGCAUUUGCUUUGCAUGCAGAAGGUCCCAGGUUCAAUCCCUCGCAUCUCCAGGUAG